ACUUUUCUAGUAUUAAAACGAGUAUAAGUGACUUCCAAUCACCCGGUCUUGGUUAAAAUCCAAGGAAAAGUA
rnacentral:tRNA from 1 species